UAGGGGUUGAAUGGGAACUGUGGCUGCCAGUCUUCACCACAGCUACAGUGACUCCAGAUGCAAACUGCGUCUGCAACCUGCACUGCAGUUUGUGGCAACGCUGGAUCCUUAACCCACUGAUCGAGGCCAGGGAUCGAACCUGCCUCCUCAUGAAUGCUAGUCGGUUUGUAACCACUGAGCCAUGAUGGGAACUCCAUCUCUAGAUUACUUCUAAUACAGUGUAAUUGCAAUGUAGGUGGUUGUAAAUACAAUGUAAAUGCUAUGUAAAUAGUACCGGGUGUAGCGAACUCAAAUUUUGCUUUGGGAAACUUUUUGAAAAAAUUUUUUAAAUCUUAAGGGCAAUGUUUCGCCCUGUUUCCUUCUUCUCUUUUAUAAAUCUUAGAACUAUUUUUGAUUUUUCAGUCUGUUCAGGUUUUUACACAGUUUAAGAACAGAGAGGUGAUUUCCAAGCUGCUUAUAUGUAGAACCCAAACUGGGAACUCCCCAAAGAUCUUUUUGCUGAACUAUUUUGCUGUAAAUUUUUCAUUUCUAGAGAAGAUGGGCAUAGUAUAGUAGAUAAAUCCUUUCACUGAAAAUAGAUACAAAUGUCAUGUAAAAUUCAAAAACCUUCUUCUUUUUUUGUCUUUUUAGGGCCACACCCAUGGCAUAUGGAGGUUUUCAGGCUAGGGGCGAAUCAGAGCUACAGCUGCUGGCCUACACCACAGCCCCAGCAACGCCAGAUCCGAGCUUCGUCUUCGACCUACACCUCAGCUCAUGGAGACACUGGAUCCUUAGCCUACUGAGAGGAGCCAGGGAUCGAACCCGCGUCCUCCUGGAUACUAGUCAGGUUCAUUCACCACUGAGCCACAAUGGGAACUCCCACUAUUUUUCUUUUAUAAACCACAAUUCAAGAAACAUCCUUGAAUACGUCUUUUGAGAACAUGUGUGAUUAUCUUCUUAGGAUACAUUUUUUUAGGAACUUAGUUAUCUCUGCCUCAAAAUGUAAGCACAUGUAAAUUGUUGAUAUGAUUUGCAAAUGUACCCUUUAUAAAUUUUGUACUGUUUAGCUUUAUUUCAAAGCUAAAAAAAAAAUGGCUUAGGACAAAAUGGGUUCUUUUAUGGCAGGAAAGCCAUUUGUGGUUCUUUCUCCAGGGAUCUCCAACCUGUUUGCUUAUGGUUCUACUAUUAAGAUUUUUUUUUCCUCUACAGCAACUGUAGGCCAAAGUUUAUGUAUCUAAUGUUAUUUCAAACUAUUUAAAUGGGCAAAUGAAUGUGUAAAGUAUAUAGUCUAUCCAAACGGGAGGUUACUGAGGAACUGACCAGAGUGACAUUUCUUGACUAGGCAGAGGCAUAAUGAAAUAGGAACUUCAAGUAGAGGUCUUCAGAGUUUAAACAAACAAACAAAAAAACAUAGAAACAAAAACAUUACUGGAGUUCCCCCUGUGGCAUAGAGGGUUAAGGAUCUGACUGCAGGGGCUUGGGUCCUUGCAUUGCCACAGCUGCGGCAUAGGUCUCAGCUAUGGGCUCGGAUUCAGUCUCUGGGCCAGAAACUUCCAUAUGCUAUAAGUGAGACCAUUAAAAAUAAAACAAAAUUUAAAAAUAAAAAUAAAUUUUUAUGGAGUUCCCAAUGUGGCACAGCGGAAAUAAAUCCAACUAGUACCCAUGAAGGUAGGGGUUCGAUCCCUGGCCUCACUCAAUGGGUCGGGAAUCCAGCUUUGCCAUGAGCCAUGGUGUAGGUCGCAGACACAGUUCAGAUCCCACGUUGCUGUGGCUGUGGUGUAGUCUGGUAGCUACAGCGCCGAUUCGAUCCCUAGCCUGGGAACUUCCCUAUGCCGUGGGUAUGGCCCUAAAAGCAAAAAAAAAAUAAAAUAAAAUUUUAAAGCCUAACAACUUGUUAAAAUUUAAUGCAUCCUUUAAUUCUAUUAUUUUCCCCAAAAAGUGUAUACUUUAGGAUAGAGAUGAGCAAAAAACUGGACUUUGAGUGGUUAAGAAAGUGGGCUUCAUGCUUGGCACACUUUAAAAAAAUAAUUUUAUAUUGUACAUAUUUUUUUGCUUUUUAGGGCUGCACCCCGCAGCAUAUGGAGAUUCCCAGGCUAGGGAUCCAAUCAGAAUUACAGCUGCCAGCCUACUCCACAGCCACAGCUACUCCAGAUCCAAGACACGUCUGCGACCUACAGCACAGCUCACAGCAACGCCGGAUCCUUAACCCACUGAGCGAGGCCAGGGAUCGAACCCGCAACCUCAUGGUUCCUAGUCAGAUUCGUUAACCACUGAGCCACGACAGGAACUCCUAAGCCUGAAAAUUCUGAUGGAAACAGGUAAUAGACCAUUGUACUCCCAGGGACCUACCAGAGUGCUGCUUAAUAUUUUUACCAAUAGAUGAAGAAUGAAUAAGCUGAAGGCUGAGAUUAAUGUCCCCAAAAGGAAGUUUUGAUUCUUUACUGGUUUCUGGACCUGAGCUAGAUCUCAGACCCACAGAUUAAAGGAGAUGCCAGGUCCUCUGUUGCGGGACCCAGCAACAUCACGGCAAGCGUAUAGUUUCGUAGUCCCAGAGGUCCUUCGCUAAAGGAAUCAAUGGUCAUUUAUUCAUAUACUGAAGAAAGAAAAUACCCAGAUCUUUGCUAGGUCCCUUAGACACGAAUUAAUUUGACACUAAUUCUUGGGGAACCAAAGCACCAUCAUGGAUUCCCAUUAGAGGAGAGGCAUAUGGGGACCAGGAAAUGUGUGUCCUGUCUCAGGUCCACCCGUAUCUUAGUAGGUUCUCUGUGUCCACACAUCCAUUUGGUGGUCAUUUCCCUGGUUCCCAAAUAUGUAAUUAGAAUGGACAUGUUUAACAAUGACCCGAACCCAGGGGAGGGGGAAGGAGGGGAUGGAUGGACUGGGAAUUUGGGGCUAAUGGAUGCAAACUGUUGCCUUGGGAAUGGAUAAGCAAUGAGAUCCUGUGUAUAGCACUGGGAACUAGUCACUUAUGAUGGAGCAUGGUAAUGUGAGAAAAAGGAUGUAUACAUGUAUGUAUGACUGGGUCACCUUGCUGUACAGUAGAAUAUUGACAGAACACUAUAAACAAACUAUGAUGGAAAAAU
rnacentral:lncRNA from 1 species